CCUACGGGCGGCUGCAGUGGGGAAUAUUGCACAAUGGGCGCAAGCCUGAUGCAGCCAUGCCGCGUGUGUGAAGAAGGCCUUCGGGUUGUAAAGCACUUUCAGCGGGGAGGAAGGCGUUAAGGUUAAUAACCUUGUCGAUUGACGUUACCCGCAGAAGAAGCACCGGCUAACUCCGUGCCAGCAGCCGCGGUAAUACGGAGGGUGCAAGCGUUAAUCGGAAUUACUGGGCGUAAAGCGCACGCAGGCGGUCUGUCAAGUCGGAUGUGAAAUCCCCGGGCUCAACCUGGGAACUGCAUUCGAAACUGGCAGGCUAAAGUCUUGUAGAGGGGGGUAGAAUUCCGGGUGUAGCGGUGAAAUGCGUAGAGAUCUGGAGGAAUACCGGUGGCGAAGGCGGCCCCCUGGACAAAGACUGACGCUCAGGUGCGAAAGCGUGGGGAGCAAACAGGAUUAGAUACCCUAGUAGUC
rnacentral:rRNA from 1 species